CCCUUAGAUGUUCUGGGCCGCGCGCGCGCUACACUGACUACUUCAACGAGUUGUUUCCUUGAUCGAAAGGUCUGGGUAAUCUUUGAAAGGUAGUCGUGAUGGGGAUAGAUCCUUGCAAUUUUUGAUCUUCAACGAGGAAUUCCUAGUAAACGCAAGUCAUCAGCUUGCAUUGAUUACGUCCCUGCCCUUUGUACACACCGCCCGUCGCACCUACCGAUUGAAUGGUCCGGUGAAUCUUUAGGACUGUGGCUGAGGCCUUGCCUUGUGCGGGUCUGGCCGUGGGAAUUUAGUUAAACCUUACCAUUUAGAGGAAGGUGAAGUCGUAACA
rnacentral:rRNA from 1 species